rnacentral:rRNA from 1 species
AACGAACGCUGGCGGCGCGUCUUAAACAUGCAAGUCGAACGGCAGGAAGGGGCUUGCCCCUUCUGAGAGUGGCGGACGGGUGAGUAACACGUGGGUGACUUACCUUUUAGUAGGGGUUAGCUAUGAGAAAUAGCACGUAAUACCGAAUGUGACCGUACCUGUUAGAGGGGUACGAUCAGAGAAGCUAAGGCUUCGUGAAAAGAAUGGCUCGCGGCCCAUUAUGCUCGUUGGUGAGGUAACGGCCUACCAAGGCGAGGAUGGGUACCCGGCCUGAGAGGGUGAACGGACACAUUGGGACUGAGAUACGGCCCAGACUCCUACGGGAGGCAGCAGUUAAGAAUAUUCCGCAAUGGACGAAAGUCUGACGGAGCGACGCCGCGUGGAUGAAGAAGGUCGUAGGGUUGUAAAACCCUUUUAAGAGGGAUGAAUAAGCACAGUAGGGAAUGAUUGUGCGGUGACGGUACCGAUUGAAUAAGCACCGGCUAACUACGUG